rnacentral:rRNA from 1 species
GACAGAGGAUGCAAGCGUUAUCCGGAAUGAUUGGGCGUAAAGCGUGCGUAGGCGGUUCCUCAAGUCCGUUGUGAAAGCCCCGGGCUCAACCUGGGAAUGGCAGUGGAAACUAGGGGACUGGAAUCUGGCAGAGGGGGGUGGAAUGCCGCGUGUAGCAGUGAAAUGCGUAGAGAUGCGGCGGAACACCGAUGGCGAAGGCAGCCCCCUGGGCUGAGAUUGACGCUCAGGCACGAAAGCGUGGGGAGCAAACAGG